rnacentral:misc_RNA from 1 species
CUUUUUGUGCCUUAUGUAUAUAUAGGGGGGUGGUAGUACUCUUGGGGUAGACAGGCAUGUGCUGGGAUGGCAUGCCAAGGCAUGUGCUGGGAUGGCAUGCCUUGGUGUGUGCUGGGAUGGCAUGCCAAGGACAAGCAUGUGCUGGGAAGGCAUGCCAAGGCCAAGACAAGGCCAAGGCAAGCACAUGCAUCGCGAGGGAGAUGAGACGGGUAUGUUUACCCCAAGAGUGCCCAAGGGAGAGGAAAGAGACGUCAAACGCAUGCUGAGCCCCACUUCGGUAGUUUGGCACCUGAUAGGCAUUCAGGCAAGCGUGCCUAUGGGAAAGGUCGGUUGAGCUUGCCAGCCAUGUUGGGUAUCAGCUGGACGAGAUGAUGGCACAAUGAUGCUUGCUUUAAGGUAACGUUCCGGCAGCACAGCCAGCCCGCAAUUGCUAGUUCAAGCGGGUGGAAUCUGCCUAUAGGGGCGUUGCUUGCUUGCUGUGGAGUUGGGACACGCCCAAUAUCUAUCAUCGACCCUUGUACCUUUAUGGCCCCAUAGGUAUUCAGGCAAGCGUGCCUAUGGGAAAAGUCGGUUGAGCUUGCCACCCAUGUUGGGUAUCAGCUGGACGAGAUGAUGGCACAAGGAUGCUUGCUUUAAGGUAACGUUCCGGCAGCACAGCCAGCCCGCAAUUGCUAGUUCAAGCGGGUGGAAUCUGCCUAUAGGGGCGUUGCUUGCUUGCUGUGGAGUUGGGACAUCCCCAAUAUCUAUCAUCGACCCUUGUACCUGCAUGCCCCCAUAGGUAUUCAGGCAAGCGUGCCUAUGGGAAAAGUCGCUUGAGCUUGCCAGCCAUGUUGGGUAUCAGCUGGACGAGAUGAUGGCACAAGGAUGCUUGCUUUAAGGUAACAUUCCGGCAGCACAGCCAGCCCGCAAUUGCUAGUUCAAGCGGGUGGAAUCUGCCUAUAGGGGUGUUGCUUGCUUGCUGUGGAUUUGGGACACUCCCAAUAUCUAUCAUCGAUCCAACGAAGUGCUCAACAUGGGUUGCUGAGGGAUAUUUUGGCACUGAUGGUUCUCUUGUUUGCUUGGCUUUGAUAAACGUUUAGAUGUCGUGAUGCUUGUGAUCCAAUAAAUUUAUGUGGGAAGCUAAGAGUUGGAACCCAAUGUCAUUCACCAGACGGCUUAGAUUCGUCAGUGUGUAUAAUAUGUCAUUGAACCCCAAUCCUUGAUGCUAACCUGAUUAUGACUUUUGGAUUGCGAUUAUCAUGGUUAUCAAAAACUGAGUAGGAGUCACUGAAUGAGUGAACAAUUUGUAGCCUUUAAUAGCUGUCAGCUUUCGCAUCGCCCGGUGUGUUUUGGGAAUCGCUUUAUGCAUUUGGUUGCCUGCCGUGCCUCUUGGCAUACGGUGGGUGCCACUUGCCGGGUGGUUUUCGGAAACAUCCACCGUAAAGGUGCAUGAGUGGUAUUUGGUUUGUUAAGGGUGGUUGGCUCUUUGCUUGCGCAACAACUGCCACCCGACUUACCUCUUCAGAUGUUUGCCUAGGCUUGUAUAGCCUAAGCAGAUUGUGGGUUUCCUGCGUUGCCUACCUACGUUAUGGAAUUGUCCCUAUCGUUCAAAGUUGCUUUCGUCUUGUGUCGUUUCUAUGGCGUAAGAUGAACCAUGAAGCUGUCUCUUUGCACCGCAUCGUUAAUGCAUGCGUCGAUGUUGUGGCCCAUUGAGCAUUGCUUGGUACCUUGGAUACGGAACCUUAUGUGGGCAUGGGUCCUUGGGGAUCCUUGUUCUGCCCUUGUUUAGCGUUCGCGCUUCUCUUAGAAUGACUGCCCAGCCGAAAUGGUAAGGCAUUGUGGAUGGGCAUCGUCAAAGAGGAAUGC